CAACAGAUACAAACAGGAAAGUGUCGCACCAAUUAUUGCAGUAGGAGGGACACAACAAAAUGUCUUUCUUUAAAUCUAAAAAUCAUCGUUUUUGAUACUUGGUGUCAUCUUGGAAGUAUGGAAGCUGAAUUCAAGCAGAAGGAGGAAGUGUUGCUGGUUCCCACCAUAACUCAACAAGGACACAAUUAGCGUGGUGAAUGGAAGUGUUGGAGUAGGACAGGUCACAGAGGAUGAGCAGCGCUCGCUCUUGGGCCAGCGUCCGAGUGACAGGAAGGUGGCGGAUCUCCCAGCAGAUGUUCUCCACCGUGGUUCCCUGUGAGGAGAGAACCUUCUUCAUCUUGACUUCUAAC